rnacentral:rRNA from 1 species
AGCGAACGCUAGCGGCGGGCCUAACACAUGCAAGUCGAGCGCAUACCUUCGGGUAUGAGCGGCGGACGGGUGAGUAACGCGUAGGUCAUCUACCCUUUGGUGGGGGAUAACCCAGGGAAACUUGGGCUAAUACCGCACGAGGUCCACGGAUCAAAGCCUUCGGGCGCCAGAGGAUGAGCCUGCGUCGCAUUACCUAGUUGGCGGGGUAACGGCCCACCAAGGGGACGAUGCGUAGCUGGUCUGAGAGGAUGAUCAGCCACACUGGGACUGAGACACGGCCCAGACUCCUACGGGAGGCAGCAGUGGGGAAUAUUGCGCAAUGGGCGAAAGCCUGACGCAGCCACGCCGCGUGAGUGAUGAAGGCCUUCGGGUUGUAAAGCUCUGUCGGGAGGGAAGAAGGCGCAAGCCUGACGGUACCUCGCAAGAAAGACACCGGCGUAACUCUGUGCCAGCAGCCGCGGUAAU